UAGGUACUCCCUCCGUCCCAUAUCAAGUGACUCAAGUUUGUCCAAAUAUGGAUGUAUCUAUACCCAUAAAGCGUCUAGAUACAUGUAAUAUUUUGUCACUUGAUAUGGGACAGAGGGAGUACUUA
rfam:Brachypodium distachyon strain Bd21 chromosome 2, whole genome shotgun sequence.